GUGGGGAAUAUUGGACAAUGGGCGAAAGCCUGAUCCAGCCAUGCCGCGUGUGUGAAGAAGGUCUUCGGAUUGUAAAGCACUUUAAGUUGGGAGGAAGGGCAGUAAGUUAAUACCUUGCUGUUUUGACGUUACCAACAGAAUAAGCACCGGCUAACUUCGUGCCAGCAGCCGCGGUAAUACGAAGGGUGCAAGCGUUAAUCGGAAUUACUGGGCGUAAAGCGCGCGUAGGUGGUUCAGCAAGUUGAAGGUGCAGUCCCCGAGCUCAACCUGGGAGCUGCCUCCAGAACUGCAUGACUAGAGUACGGUAGAGGGUAGUGGAAUUUCCUGUGUAGCGGUGAAAUGCGUAGAUAUAGGAAGGAACACCAGUGGCGAAGGCGACUACCUGGAAUGAUACUGACACUGAGGUGCGAAAGCGUGGGGAGCAAACAGGAUUAGAAACCCCUGUAGUCC
rnacentral:rRNA from 1 species